rnacentral:rRNA from 1 species
AUGCCUACGGGGGGCAGCAGUCGGGAAUAUUGCGCAAUGGAGGAAACUCUGACGCAGUGACGCCGCGUAUAGGAAGAAGGUUUUCGGAUUGUAAACUAUUGUCGUGAGGGAAGAAAUUGACAGUACCUCAGGAGGAAGCUCCGGCUAACUAUGUGCCAGCAGCCGCGGUAAUACGUAGGGGGCAAGCGUUAUCCGGAUUUACUGGGUGUAAAGGGAGCGUAGACGGCGAUGCAAGCCAGAUGUGAAAGCCCGGGGCUCAACCCCGGGACUGCAUUUGGAACUGUGUGGCUGGAGUGUCGGAGAGG